rnacentral:rRNA from 1 species
UACGGGGGGGGCAAGCGUUGUUCGGAAUUACUGGGCGUAAAGGGCUCGUAGGCGGCCAACUAAGUCAGACGUGAAAUCCCUCGGCUUAACCGGGGAACUGCGUCUGAUACUGGAUGGCUCGAGUUUGGGAGAGGGAUGCGGAAUUCCAGGUGUAGCGGUGAAAUGCGUAGAUAUCUGGAGGAACACCGGUGGCGAAGGCGGCAUCCUGGACCAACACUGACGCUGAGUGAGCGAAAGCCAGGGGAGCAAACGGG